GAUGAACGCUAGCGACAGGCCUAAACACAUGCAAGUCGAGGGGCAUCGGGGUGUAGCAAUACGAUGGUGGCGACCGGCGCACGGGUGAGUAACACGUAUGCAACCUACCUCUAACAGGGGGAUAACCCGUUGAAAGACGGACUAAUACCCCAUAAUACAGGGGCUCCGCAUGGAGAUAUUUGUUAAAGAUUUUAUCGGUUAGAGAUGGGCAUGCGUUCCAUUAGCUAGUUGGUGAGGUAACGGCUCACCAAGGCGACGAUGGAUAGGGGAACUGAGAGGUUUAUCCCCCACACUGGAACUGAGACACGGUCCAGACUCCUACGGGAGGCAGCAGUGAGGAAUAUUGGUCAAUGGGCGAGAGCCUGAACCAGCCAAGUCGCGUGAAGGAAGAAGGUUCUAUGGAUUGUAAACUUCUUUUGCAGGGGAAUAAAGGCGGUACGUGUACUGUUUUGUAUGUACCUUGCGAAUAGGGAUCGGCUAACUCCGUGCCAGCAGCCGCGGUAAUAUCACG
rnacentral:rRNA from 1 species